AUUGAACGCUGGCGGCAGGCCUAACACAUGCAAGUCGAGCGGAUGAAGGGAGCUUGCUCCUGGAUUCAGCGGCGGACGGGUGAGUAAUGCCUAGGAAUCUGCCUGGUAGUGGGGGAUAACGUCCGGAAACGGGCGCUAAUACCGCAUACGUCCUGAGGGUGAACGUGGGGGAUCUUCGGACCUCACGCUAUCAGAUGAGCCUAGGUCGGAUUAGCUAGUUGGUGGGGUAAAGGCCUACCAAGGCGACGAUCCGUAACUGGUCUGAGAGGAUGAUCAGUCACACUGGAACUGAGACACGGUCCAGACUCCUACGGGAGGCAGCAGUGGGGAAUAUUGGACAAUGGGCGAAAGCCUGAUCCAGCCAUGCCGCGUGUGUGAAGAAGGUCUUCGGAUUGGAAAGCACUUUAAGUUGGGAGGAAGGGCAGUAAGUUAAUACCUUGCUGUGUUGACGUUACCAACAGAAUAAGCACCGGCUAACUUCGUG
rnacentral:rRNA from 1 species